UAAAAAUUAAAUUAAUAUUUUAUUAAUUUAAUUUUGGAUCUAUUUGAGUUUUCUGUAAAAGGUUCAAUUGGCUAAACUUUUUAAGAUCUAAAUCUUGGAUUUUUCCCAAUCAAGGUUGAAUUGGUUUCAACCCCAAUUUUUAGAAAUUUAAUUAAUUUGGGAGGAUUUUUGGAUGUUAGCCAAUUGCUAAUUUCAUUAAUUAAGAUACUAAGUGUUCCUUUUAUGAUUAGGAUCAAGUUAAUUGGAGAAUUUUACUGUCAACUAGGGAGUACCUUUGUUUGGCUAAAAUCUCCAGGUAAGAGAUUCUCCUACUAGACCUUCGAAUGAAUUUAAGAGACCGCAUGUAAUUAUGAUUAUGCAUUGAUGGUAGCUAAAAUGCAUAACUUGAUACUAUUGAUAAUGACUGUCAUUGUAUUGAUGUUGAUGAUGAUAACUGAGAUUAUUAUGUUGAUGAUUGAUGAUGAUGACUGAUGUUAUGUUAAUGACCGGUAGUAUGUUGUUGAUGAUUGUUGAUGAUUGUUAAUGCAUGAUAUAUUAAUCACAUGAUUAAGGACAUUAAGAUUAAUACUCAUGCCAUGUUAUGAUGUUAUGUUAUGCUACAUGCUAUGGAUAGGGUGUUCUGUUAACUUUGUCUAUUAGAGUCGUACCUGCAUGGGUGUCUUUCGGGAUCACCACCUAUUUAGGACUGUGUGGUCCGACAGGACGUCAGUCUAGCAUGGAUAUAGAUAUGAUUCGAGUGAUUCGACGGGGUCCUCGCAUCCCGAUUGUCUUAGUGUUACCCCCGGGUUCACUACAGACCAGCAUAUCCUAGGUGCUCCCCCGGGACACCGAAGACCAGAUUUUCGUUCCUACGGGAGCGCAUGUUGCACGUGUUCGGGAACGUGCCAGAGAUUGGGCGAAGGUAAAGGUAGAGGAAAGCUGGCGAGCGACAAAGAAGGAUCCGCGACAUGCCAUAUGGGGACUCAGUUUUGCUUCCGCGUUUAUGUUUCAGUGUUUUAAUAUUCCGUUUUUAAUGAAAAAUUUAUUCUUCCCUCGUUUCAAAAAGUGUCCUUGUCAUUGUUUCUUUUUAGUAACGAUCUCAGCCUAGUAUAAAGAGUUGGGUCGUUACAAAGGGUUUCUUUCCUCUUCAUGUGAUUCUUGAAGACCUUCCAAGCUUUGGUUGACUGUUGAUGGAGGACCUUCCAAGCUAGGAGUUGAUGGAAAAGAAAGAGGAAAGCAAGAAAUGUUAGAUGGAAAAGUUUUAUUCCUUGCAUAUUUUUACUGUAGAAAGAUGUAGUUGAUAACAAGCUUAAAGUUUGAAGCCUCAAUGCAAUAAUCAAAGUCAAAGAAAUCAUUUUGUUCUAAGCUUAAAUUUUUCUCUAA